rnacentral:rRNA from 1 species
GACGAACGCUGGCGGCGUGCUUAACACAUGCAAGUCGAACGGAAAGGCCCUGCUUUUGUGGGGUGCUCGAGUGGCGAACGGGGGAGUAACACGUGAGUAACCUGCCCUUGACUUUGGGAUAACUUCAGGAAACUGGGGCUAAUACCGGAUAGGAGCUCCUGCUGCAUGGUGGGGGUUGGAAAGUUUCGGCGGUUGGGGAUGGACUCGCGGCUUAUCAGCUUGUUGGUGGGGUAGUGGCUUACCAAGGCUUUGACGGGUAGCCGGCCUGAGAGGGUGACCGGCCACAUUGGGACUGAGCUACGGCCCAGACUCCUACGGGAGGCAGCGGUGGGGAAUAUUGCACAAUGGGCGGAAGCCUGAUGCAGCAACGCCGCGUGCGGGAUGACGGCCUUCGGGUUGUAAACCGCUUUCGCCUGUGACGAAGCGUGAGUGACGGUAAUGGGUAAAGAAGCACCGGCUAACUACGUG